rnacentral:lncRNA from 1 species
GGCCACCACCCUGCAGCAGGAGGCAGCCACCAGCUCCCCUCCAGCCACGUGCCUGAGCCCCAUCACCCCCCAAAGCCACCGCCGCACCCCAAAAAUCCCCCCUCCAACACCCCAGCACGGGGCUGGGCAGCGCUCAGCCCCCAAUUCCUUGUGGGAGCAGGAGGAGCAGGGCCAGCAGCGGCGCUGCUCCUGAGCUGCCCCCCUCGGGGGAAGGCAGCUUUGUGGUUUUCCUGCAGGAAGAGGCUGCGUUGCGCCACCCUGGGGAGGUGGAAGGGGCACCCCGCAGCUUUAGGGCCUCAGACAAGGCCCCAAAGGCUGUGGGACCCCAACCACUUUAAUCACAGCUGGGGCACCACUGCUGCAGCUCUGCGCCUCCUUCGCUUGCACUGGAAGAAAAGCAGGGGCCAGCAGCUGCAGCACAGCAACAAAACAAAGCAUCCACCUCUGGGCAGCGCAGGGUCAGGCUUCAGUCGUCCCCAAGACAUUCCUGGCACAGCAGCUUCAAAAAGUGACCAGAAAAAUAAAGCACAGGCUCUUCGCUACGACGUCAUUUUAAUUGCAUCGACACCCAGAAAAUACACAAAGGAUACGCGCCGAGAGCCACCCGUCAGAGAGAGGCUUCCUUCCACUGGUGGGUCUUACUUUCACACUUCUCUCACUCCAAAAAAAAAAAUAAUAUAUAUAUAUUUAUAUAUAUAAAAUAAUAAUUGCACCGGUUGAUGUACAAACACAGUCUUCCCUUUUCACACAUUCGCAAGUUCUGCCGCUCCAGCAGGGUCGAGCCCCGGCACCUGCCCCAACGUGUCGGGAGCAGCACCCACGGGAACGAAGGGUUGUACAAAACAGUAUGAAGGUUUUCCUACAGACGUACACCUGCAGUGUUUACUGGUUGGUGGUGGUUUCUUUUUUUUUUUUUCCUUUUUUUUUUUUUUUCUUAAAGUUUCAAAACUAGGUUUUGGGUCACUAAUGGCUUGUAUUUUAUCUACAGUAAAUUCAGCAUAUACUUUUUAUUUUUAGGAAUGUGUAAGGCAUUUUGGUAAGUUGAAGGGUUA